rnacentral:rRNA from 1 species
GACGAACGCUGGCGGCGUGCCUAAUACAUGCAAGUCGAGCGAGCUUGCCCUAGAUGAAUUUGGUGCUUGCACCAAAUGAAACUAGAUACAAGCGAGCGGCGGACGGGUGAGUAACACGUGGGUAACCUGCCCAAGAGACUGGGAUAACACCUGGAAACAGAUGCUAAUACCGGAUAACAACACUAGACGCAUGUCUAGAGUUUAAAAGAUGGUUCUGCUAUCACUCUUGGAUGGACCUGCGGUGCAUUAGCUAGUUGGUAAGGUAACGGCUUACCAAGGCAAUGAUGCAUAGCCGAGUUGAGAGACUGAUCGGCCACAAUGGGACUGAGACACGGCCCAUACUCCUACGGGAGGCAGCAGUAGGGAAUCUUCCACAAUGGGCGCAAGCCUGAUGGAGCAACACCGCGUGAGUGAAGAAGGGUUUCGGCUCGUAAAGCUCUGUUGUUAAAGAAGAACACGUAUGAGAGUAACUGUUCAUACGUUGACGGUAUUUAACCAGAAAGUCACGGCUAACUACGUGCCAGCAGCCGCGGUAAUACGUAGGUGGCAAGCGUUAUCCGGAUUUAUUGGGCGUAAAGAGAGUGCAGGCGGUUUUCUAAGUCUGAUGUGAAAGCCUUCGGCUUAACCGGAGAAGUGCAUCGGAAACUGGAUAACUUGAGUGCAGAAGAGGGUAGUGGAACUCCAUGUGUAGCGGUGGAAUGCGUAGAUAUAUGGAAGAACACCAGUGGCGAAGGCGGCUACCUGGUCUGCAACUGACGCUGAGACUCGAAAGCAUGGGUAGCAAACAGG